GGCCCCGUAGCUCAGCUGGAUAGAGCACCAGAUUCCUAAUCUGGGGGUCACAGGUUCGAAUCCUGUCGGGGUCGCCA
rnacentral:tRNA from 1 species